UGGGGAAUAUUGGACAAUGGGGGCAACCCUGAUCCAGCCAUGCCGCGUGAGUGAUGAAGGCCCUAGGGUUGUAAAGCUCUUUUACCAGGGAUGAUAAUGACAGUACCUGGAGAAUAAGCCCCGGCUAACUCCGUGCCAGCAGCCGCGGUAAUACGGAGGGGGCUAGCGUUGUUCGGAAUUACUGGGCGUAAAGCGCGCGUAGGCGGCUUUCCAAGUCAGGGGUGAAAUCCCGGGGCUCAACCCCGGAACUGCCCUUGAAACUGGAUCGCUAGAAUCUUGGAGAGGUGAGUGGAAUUCCGAGUGUAGAGGUGAAAUUCGUAGAUAUUCGGAAGAACACCAGUGGCGAAGGCGACUCACUGGACAAGUAUUGACGCUGAGGUGCGAAAGCGUGGGGAGCAAACAGGAUUAGAUACCCCUGUAGUCC
rnacentral:rRNA from 1 species